AUUGAACGCUGGCGGCAUGCCUUACACAUGCAAGUCGAACGCGAAAGAGGGGCAACCCUUGAGUAGAGUGGCGAACGGGUGAGUAACGCAUCGGAACGUAUCCAGUAGUGGGGGAUAACCCAUCGAAAGAUGGGCUAAUACCGCAUACGCCCCGAGGGGGAAAGUGGGGGAUCCGCAAGGACCUCACGUUAUUGGAGCGGCCGAUGUCCGAUUAGCUAGUUGGCGGGGUAAGAGCCCACCUAGGCGACGAUCGGUAGCUGGUCUGAGAGGAUGAUCAGCCACACUGGGACUGAGACACGGCCCAGACUCCUACGGGAGGCAGCAGUGGGGAAUUUUGGACAAUGGGGGCAACCCUGAUCCAGCCAUGCCGCGUGAGUGAAGAAGGCCUUCGGGUUGUAAAGCUCUUUCGGCCGGAACGAAAUCGCAUCCUCUAAUACGGGGUGUGGAUGACGGUACCGGAAGAAGAAGCACCGGCUAACUACGUGCCAGCAGCCGCAGUAACAC
rnacentral:rRNA from 1 species